rnacentral:lncRNA from 1 species
AAAACACUGAUGAAAGGCCUUGCUCACUCAGUGCUCUCAGAAGGCAGAACUCAUCAGCUGACUUGCCAGUCACCCUCGCCACAGACACUGGCUUAAAAGAAAGAAAAAUAUUUAAUUAAUGAAGGUGAAGUUCUCCACAUGGAAUAAUCAUGGAAGAAGAUAAGACACUGAAGUUAACCUCACCCCGUCAGAGAGCAGGGUGAGGGGACCUGUUGCCCCUGAGCCUCUCAGCAGCCCCCUUCCACCCUCAGUCUCAGAUCUGGAUGGCUGCCUUCCACAAGGCCCCUCUUUCUGCCCUGACUGCCCAUUGGCCACAGAUUAAGAAACCGAGGCACAGAGUGGUUACAUUAACCUGCUGAAGAUCACGCAGUAAAAUGGCAGAGCGUGGAUUUGUACCCAAUCGGGCUCUAGAGCCCACAGGCUUAACCACCGCACUAUAUUGCCUUGCAAACUCAAGCAAAUUUAAGUCUGGUUUUUCUCUCUUGCAACGGAAAGAUACCCUCUCUCCUCU